GAUGAACGCUGGCGGCGUGCCUAACACAUGCAAGUCGAACGGAAAGACGAGGAGCUUGUUCCUUUAUCGUUAGCGGCGGGCGGGUGAGUAACGCGUGGAUCACCUACUUAUCUUUCUGGGAUAUCUUGGAGAAACCGGAGCUAAUAUCGGAUAAUCUACUGAAGCGUGUGGUUCAAUGGUGAUAGACGGUUUUGCGGUCUCUUAUAGCGGUAUCCGCGCCGCUUUAGGUAGUUGUUAAGGUACAGGCUUACCAAGGCAAGGAUGCGUAGCCGACCUGAGAGGAUGAUCGGCCACACUGGAACUGAGACACGGUCCAGACUCCUACGGGAGGCAGCAGUAGGGAAUGUUAGGCAAUGGGCGAAAGCCUGACGGAGCAAGGCCGCGUGAGUGAUGAAGGUCUUCGGAUCGUAAAGCCCUUUUAUUGGGGAAGAACAGAUGUGGAAGGAACUAUGGACGUCGUGACGGUACCUAAUCAAAAAGCACCGGCUAACUACGUG
rnacentral:rRNA from 1 species